rnacentral:rRNA from 1 species
UACGAAGGAUGCGAGCGUUUAUCCGGAUUUAUUGGGUUUAAAGGGAGCGUAGGCGGUCUUAUAAGUCAGUGGUGAAAUCUCGUUGCUUAACAACGAACGUGCCAUUGAUACUGUAGGACUUGAGUACAGUUGCCGUUGGCGGAAUGUGUCAUGUAGCGGUGAAAUGCAUAGAUAUGACACAGAACACCGAUUGCGAAGGCAGCUGACGAAACUGUAACUGACGCUGAGGCUCGAAAGCGUGGGGAUCAAACAGG